rnacentral:rRNA from 1 species
CCGCAAGGGGAGUGGCAGACGGGUGAGUAACGCGUGGGAAUCUACCGUACCCUACGGAAUAACGCAUGGAAACGUGUGCUAAUACCGUAUACGCCCUACGGGGGAAAGAUUUAUCGGGGUAUGAUGAGCCCGCGUUGGAUUAGCUAGUUGGUGGGGUAAAGGCCUACCAAGGCGACGAUCCAUAGCUGGUCUGAGAGGAUGAUCAGCCCACAUUGGGACUGAGACACGGACCAAACUCCUACGGGAGGCAGCAGUGGGGAAUAUUGGACAAUGGGCGCAAGCCUGAUCCAUCCAUGCCGCGUGAGUGAUGAAGGUCUUAGGAUUGUAAAGCUCUUUCACCGGAGAAGAUAAUGGCGGUAUCCGGAGAAGAAGCCCCGGCUAACUUCGUGCCAGCAGUCCGGCGGUAAUACGAAUGGGGGCUAGCUUGAUUCGGAAUUACUGGGCGUAAAGCGCACGUAGUCGGAUAUUUAAGUCAGGGGUGAAAUCCCAGAGCUCAACUCUGGAACUGCCUUUGAUACUGGGUAUCUAGAGUAUGGAAGAGGUGAGUGGAAUUCCGAGUGUAGAGGUGAAAUUCGUAGAUAUUCGGAGGAACACCAGUGGCGAAGGCGGCUCACUGGUCCAUUACUUGACGCUGAGGUGCGAAAGCGUGGGGAGCAAACAGGAUUAGAUACCCUAGGUAGUCCACGCCGUAAACGAUGAAUGUUAGCCGUCGGGCAGCUUGCUGUUCGGUGGCGCAGCUAAC